rnacentral:rRNA from 1 species
GAUGAACGCUGGCGGCGUGCUUAACACAUGCAAGUCGAACGGGAAACCUUUUAUUGAAGCUUCGGCAGAUUUAGAUUGUUUCUAGUGGCGGACGGGUGAGUAACGCGUGGGUAACCUGCCUUAUACAGGGGGAUAACAGUCAGAAAUGACUGCUAAUACCGCAUAAGCGCACAGGACCGCAUGGUCCGGUGUGAAAAACUCCGGUGGUAUAAGAUGGACCCGCGUUGGAUUAGCUAGUUGGUGAGGUAACGGCCCACCAAGGCGACGAUCCAUAGCCGGCCUGAGAGGGUGAACGGCCACAUUGGGACUGAGACACGGCCCAGACUCCUACGGGAGGCAGCAGUGGGGAAUAUUGCACAAUGGGGGAAACCCUGAUGCAGCGACGCCGCGUGAAGGAAGAAGUAUCUCGGUAUGUAAACUUCUAUCAGCAGGGAAGAAAAUGACGGUA